rnacentral:rRNA from 1 species
GUGGGGAAUCUUGCGCAAUGGGCGAAAGCCUGACGCAGCCAUGCCGCGUGAAUGAUGAAGGUCUUAGGAUUGUAAAAUUCUUUCACCGGGGACGAUAAUGACGGUACCCGGAGAAGAAGCUCCGGCUAACUUCGUGCCAGCAGCCGCGGUAAUACGAAGGGGGCUAGCGUUGCUCGGAAUUACUGGGCGUAAAGGGCGCGUAGGCGGACAGCUUAGUCAGAGGUGAAAGCCCAGGGCUCAACCUUGGAAUUGCCUUUGAUACUGGCUGUCUUGAGUUUGGGAGAGUUGAGUGGAACUCCGAGUGUAGAGGUGAAAUUCGUAGAUAUUCGGAAGAACACCAGUGGCGAAGGCGACUCACUGGCCCGUUACUGACGCUGAGGCGCGAAAGCGUGGGGAGCAAACAGGAUUAGAAACCCGGGUAGUCC